rnacentral:rRNA from 1 species
AGAGGUGAAAUUCUUGGAUUGCCGAAAGACAAACUGCUGCGAAAGCGUCUGCCAAGGAUGUUUUCAUUGAUCAAGAACGAAAGUAAGGGGAUCGAAGACGAUCAGAUACCGUCGUAGUCUUUACUAUAAACGAUGAGGACUGGGGAUCGGGCGAGGGAUUACGAUGACCCGCCCGGCACCCUUCGAGAAAUCAAAGUGUUUGCUUUCUGGGGGGAGUAUGGUCGCAAGGCUGAAACUUAAAGGAAUUGACGGAAGGGCAUCACCGGGUGUGGAGCCUGCGGCUUAAUUUGACUCAACACGGGAAAACUUACCAGGUCAGGACAUAGUGAGGAUUGACAGAUUGAGAGCUCUUUCUUGAUUCUAUGGUUGGUGGUGCAUGGCCGUUCUUAGUUGGUGGAGUGAUUUGUCUGGUUAAUUCCGUUAACGAGCGAGACCUGGGCGUGCUAACUAGGGGCUACUACCAUUUUGGUAGUACGCUUACCCUUCUUAGACGGACUGUGGGCGUCUAGCCCACGGAAGCUCCAGGCAAUAACAGGUCUGAGAUGCCCUUAGAUGUUCUGGGCCGCACGCGUGCUACACUGAGUGGAUCAGCGGGUCAGGUUGCGCGAAAGUGUUUCCUAAUCUUUAAAUCCGCUCGUGAUGGGGAUUGACGGUUGCAAUUUUCCGUCAUGAACGAGGAAUACCUUGUAAGCGCGGGUCAUCAUCCCGCGCUGAAUACGUCCCUGCCCUUUGUACACACCGCCCGUCGCUCCUACCGAUUGAGUGGUCCGGUGAGGCUUUGGGAUCUGAGCGGAAAGAGCGCUUCGCUCGUUCUGCUCUGGAAAACUCAGUCGAACCUUAUCAUUUAGAGGAAGGAGAAGUCGUAACAAGGUUUCCGUAGGUGAACCUGCAGAAGAAUCAAGCUA